GCCAGUGGUGGCCAGCUCCAGCCCCAGGUCUUCCAGGGUCCCUCAGAAGCCAUUUCCCAAAGCUGUCGGCAUCUCCAUGUCUGCACUCUUGGAGCUGCAUGCAAACAUUGGUUCCCUCGGACCUCCCUGGAAAAAGGAGAGGCUAAUGAACACAGAGAAACAGAGCCUUUGAAACUAGAGACUCACUCUGGAGUCUGAGUUGUGUAACCCUGAGCAAGACAUUGACAUGAGGAACUAAAACGUGUUUAUGUCAUUAGAGACCGAGUUCCAGCCAGGUGAUGGAGGUGUGUGCCUCGCUGCACCAUACUGGCACGUGGAAGAAGUUCAGUGAGCUAGCACUGGGGUAGUUUUUGCCCUCUUGAGCCCUCUCAUGGCAGUGGACUGGCCAUCAUCAGCUGUUGGUAAAACGGUGGCCCCUGAGCAUCCAGGAUCACAACACCGGCUGCAAGUUUCCACAAUUGACCAACACAUCUCAGAGGGCUGGAAGUAGAAGAGAAACAGAAAUGAUGUGGUUUCUCUGCCUAGACAAGGAACUUGGGAUAGCUUCUGGGGUCCUUCCUAGUCAUGUGCCAUCCUCUCUGACACUUGGAGGCAGGAAUCUGCAGCAGUUCUAGAAGCCCACCCUCACCCCAACAAGGUGGCCCAGGAUGGAUGGAUCCCUUGUGAGGAUUCCUUCACUGAGCAGCCUGGGGAUGAGGCACAGUUUCUCCCCCUAUAGGUCACUGGGCUAAGAAAACACAGCACGUCCACCUGGCCAGUCUCCUAGACCCAGAGCCCUAAAGAAGAAUGAAGUCACGUCCUUUGCAGGAAAAUGGAUGCAACUGGAGAGAAUCACAGUAUGUAAAGGAAUCAAGUCAGUUUCAGAGAGACAAGUGUGCAUGCUUCCUCUCAGGUGUGGCCUUGCACAUAAGCUCACAGGUGUGCUCAUGCCAUGACGGCAGGAGUGAGGCUGGGAGCGAAGGGGAAGGUAGAGAGUCCUUUGGUACAUUACAUGCUUGCAGGAAAUGGCUUAUGCAAUCCUGUAUGAUAGAAUUGGGGGGAAAAUGAUACUGCAUCCAAACUAAGGAAGAAGCAUUAAAAGACACAGUGGCCAUCCCCAACAGGCGUGUCCCGUAAAUCUGUGUGCAGGAAGUGUGUGGCGUGCCAACGGCUCUCACCCAGCAUGGCUCUCCGUGGGAGAAUUUACCCAACAGUAAUGCUGAUUAAAAAAUAAGAUGGUGGUAGAAGCCAGGGCAAUGAGGCUUGUUUAUGCCCCAGAAAAAAAGUACACAGGAGCCAUGCCCUUGUCCUUGCACAGUCCAGCUGCGGGUGGGCACUGCCCAACACUACAGGCACAGGCUGAGGCCAGGACCCGAAGGGCUUUGCAGGAGGUAAUCACCUGGCCUGAGCUGGAAGAGUGAGUGGGGAUGAAGGACAGAGAGGUAAAGCCAGGCCUCCUGGGGCUAAAGAGGAGCCCCAGGAGGAGUGAAGACAGCAGCACACA